GUGAAAUGGCUACGGGUAGUCAGAGGUUAUUAGUGGAAUGAAUGCUGGGCGGGACAAUUGAUUACUGAACACUGAACGUGAGUGUCCGAGCGGUGCUGCUUAUAUGCGGUUGAAGGAAAUAGGGAAGUUUUGCUUGCAAUCGACCCACCCUAAGAAUUUUCAAGAUAUUACAGUAAACAAUACAAACAAUUUUGAAGCGUCACGAAGAAUUGCUCUAAUCAGUUGUAUAGAUUAGUAAAUGAUCUACUGGUGGUGGUAGUGAGGCAUGCAUCGGCUGAUAAGCUAUUGUGUUCUUAGCGAGUGCCCGAGGAUACUGCUCCGCACCAGGGGAAGCAUGCCACAAUGGCGUCCAGCUGCUCGUAAGUAUCGCUAAUGACUGCAUCAUUAACCAGAUCCAAGUCCAGUAAUUAGUGGGACAGGCGUGAAAAAGGUAAAACAAUAUAGCCGUAAGCCACUCCGAAACUUGGAAAACCGUGAACCGAACCGAAC